UUUAGGCAGCAGCAUUACCUCCUUAAAAUUCACAGCUUCACAGAAUUGGGGAUGGUUAUUGCAAAGAUGACAAAUAUUGCACUUUGUUAUCUGUUCCAAGUUCUCUAAGGAAAGAAAUACUUCCAGCCUAACACUUGGAUUUUGUAUUUUCUUGGGCCGAAUGGCCUGUUCCAGUGCUGUACUGAUCUAAGGAAAGAGGCCACUUGCCUUGUUGAGUCCAUACCAGCUCAAUGUGAAAGCUUUGCAGUUAGUCCCUUUCCCCAGAGUCCUGCAAUUUCUUUCCUUUCAGGUUUUUUCUUGAAUCCUGCGGUCGAAUCUCACUCCAGUUCAUCUCCCGGCAGUGCAUUGAAGACCCUAAACUCUCAAGAUUUCACAAGCUGUGGUCAAUGAUGGUGAAGAAUCACUGAAGUGUAGGGCAAUGUGGUAAUGACCAGGUCAUCUAACUUAAAAGCAUAAAUAUCAAGAGAGACCCUUCGGCCCAACUUGUCCAUACCGACUUCAACAUCACAUGAACUUCACCGCCCAAACACUCCAGGAGAAACAACAAACGAUCUGCUGGAGGAACUCAGCAGGUCGAGCAGCAUCUGCGGCAGGGAAAGGAAUUGUCGGCGUUUCGGGUCUAAACCCUG